rfam:Picea glauca, whole genome shotgun sequence.
GUACAUGCUUACAACAUAGAAUUAAUGCACCAUAUCCCAUUAGAACUCCAUAGUUAAGCGCACUUAGGAUAGAGUAGUGUUGGGAUGGGUGACCGCCUAGGAAGUACUAGUAUUUUAUACG